UUGCACGCUGGCGGCAGGCCUAACACAUGCAAGUCGAGCGGAUGAAGGGAGCUUGCUCCUGGAUUCAGCGGCGGACGGGUGAGUAAUGCCUAGGAAUCUGCCUGGUAGUGGGGGAUAACGUCCGGAAACGGGCGCUAAUACCGCAUACGUCCUGAGGGAGAAAGUGGGGGAUCUUCGGACCUCACGCUAUCAGAUGAGCCUAGGUCGGAUUAGCUAGUUGGUGGGGUAAAGGCCUACCAAGGCGACGAUCCGUAACUGGUCUGAGAGGAUGAUCAGUCACACUGGAACUGGAACACGGUCCAGACUCCUACGGGAGGCAGCAGUGGGGAAUAUUGGACAAUGGGCGAAAGCCUGAUCCAGCCAUGCCGCGUGUGUGAAGAAGGUCUUCGGAUUGUAAAGCACUUUAAGUUGGGAGGAAGGGCAGUAAGUUAAUACCUUGCUGUUUUGACGUUACCAACAGAAUAAGCACCGGCUAACUUCGUG
rnacentral:rRNA from 1 species